AAUGAACGCUGGCGGCGUGCCUAACACAUGCAAGUCGAGCGCGAAAGUCUCUUCGGAGAUGAGUAAAGCGGCGGACGGGUGAGUAACACGUGAGAACUUGCCUUUUGGUGGAGAAUACCUUCGAGAAAUUGAGGUUAAUACUGCAUAAGUCCCUCCGGGGAGAAAGAUGGCUUUAUGCUAUCGCCAGAAGAUAGGCUUGCGGACUAUUAGCUAGUUGGUGGGGUAAAGGCCUACCAAGGCAAUGAUGGUUAACCGGCCUGAGAGGGUGAACGGUCACAUUGGAACUGAGACACGGUCCAAACUCCUACGGGAGGCAGCAGUGAGGAAUAUUGCGCAAUGGGCGAAAGCCUGACGCAGCGACGCCGCGUGAAGGAUGAAGGUCUUCGGAUCGUAAAACUUCUGUUGAGUGGGAAGAAAGUCUGAUUUCUAAUACAGAUCAGAUAUGACGGUACCACUUUAGAAAGCACCGGCUAACUUCGUGCCAGCCGCCGCGGUAAG
rnacentral:rRNA from 1 species